GGUUGCCUCGUUGGUUGCCUGAGGAAAUUGCAGAACUGGUGUAUGUCUGCUGUGGUGGAGGAGUACAAGCAUUAUGCUGGCACAAAGUGGAGAGAAACAGAUGUAAAAUUUCUUGAGAAAUAUGACGUCUCACGCAUUAGGCAUUGUCUUGAGAGCAUUAUCUACAGGUACUAUGGGUCGAAGAAGAGGCGUUUGCAGUACAGAGAAGAAAGUCUGCAGAAGCCCCAGAUGACUUCAGUUCUAUAGAAGGGGAUUUAUCCACCUUAAAUUUUAGCCUGGAUUGGAUAUAUACCCCCCACUCUUCUUUUAUUU
rnacentral:misc_RNA from 1 species